CAAACACAACAGAGGAGGGCAUCAGAUUCCAUUACAGAUGGUUGUGAGCCACCAUGUGGUUGUUGGGAAUUGAAUUGAGGACCUCUGGAAGAGCAGCCAGUACUCUUAUCUGCUGAGCCAUCUCUCCAGCCCAGUGAAUUAUUUGAAAAAAAAAAAAAAGAAAAAGAAAAGGCCACAAAGUUGAGGGCUAAGGGUGUCAGAAUGGAUCUGGGAGGAGUAUGUGGAGAAUAUGCCCAGAUUGCAUUGUAUGAAAAUUUCAAAGAAUUAAUGUUUUUCAGAGACAAAGCAUUCGUGGAAACAAAAAUAAGCAGGGCUUAAGCUAUUCACAAAAAAGAACAGUUAUCAUUUUACAGGAUUAUGACACAACUUCCUUAUUAUACCCAUGUUCAGGUCCAUCUUUGUAAUGGUUAGAAAGAUCAUACCAUGAAGCAGCUUCCUGAAUGCGGAGAAAGAAGGGCGCUACCAGUCAUUUGGGAAAUAUGUUAGUGGAAUCUCCAGACCAUCAACCUUACACAUCAAGAGUUGAAGCAUUAGGGAUACACAUAAUGAAAAGAAGACAGUGUAAGUGACGACGGGAGACCCGUAAAGGUGCUCAUGUGAAAGUGCUAACAGUAUGCCAAGUGUUAACAGCAAUGGAAGGGAGGAGCUAUGCUGACUCUGGCCCAGUGCACCACGAUUGAUCAGCUAGCUGAAAACAAACUGCUGAAUUGAAGAUGUUUUUUCUUUAUUGGAUGAAGAUGGAGAUGGCUAUGAGAACAUGACAGCAAAGGAAUUUGGCCCUCCCAUAUGGUCACUGGCAAUACUCAAAUUUCAGGAUAUGACCAAUGAACUGGUCACCAUUGACAUACCAGAAUUUUUACUUUGAUGGAAAGAAAAAAUAAAAGAAAACAAAAAAGGUGGAAGAAGAGGAGGAAGAGGAGGAGGAGGAGAAAGAAGAAGAAAGAAGAAAGGCUGUACCAUACAUGUUUUCUGCUUCAGUUCUUGCCUCUAUGCUUUGAGUUCUUGCCUUGGUGCCCCUCAGUGAUUGACUGUUAGGUGUGAGCCAAAAGAACUCUGCUUUUCCUGAGCUAGUUAUAGUUAGGUUUUUAUCAUAGGAACAGAAAACAAACUAGGGCAGUGUGCAUUUGAAAAUGUUUUCAUCUUGAAAGUGGUGUCAAAAAACAUUAAAACUUGAGGUGAGACAGGGUCUCUGGCUAGGGAUCAUACAAUUCAGGAUGGAACUAGGGCUCUGGCUCCAUUGGUUUAUUUUAGGACUUU
rnacentral:lncRNA from 1 species